UUUGAAAUGUAGGGAGACAGCUGGAUAAC
rnacentral:piRNA from 1 species